GGCUAAUCCUGGUCGGACAUCAGGAGGUUAGUGCAAUGGCAUAAGCCAGCUUGACUGCGAGCGUGACGGCGCGAGCAGGUGCGAAAGCAGGUCAUAGUGAUCCGGUGGUUCUGAAUGGAAGGGCCAUCGCUCAACGGAUAAAAGGUACUCCGGGGAUAACAGGCUGAUACCGCCCAAGAGUUCAUAUCGACGGCGGUGUUUGGCACCUCGAUGUCGGCUCAUCACAUCCUGGGGCUGAAGUAGGUCCCAAGGGUAUGGCUGUUCGCCAUUUAAAGUGGUACGCGAGCUGGGUUUAGAACGUCGUGAGACAGUUCGGUCCCUAUCUGCCGUGGGCGCUGGAGAACUGAGGGGGGCUGCUCCUAGUACGAGAGGACCGGAGUGGACGCAUCACUGGUGUUCGGGUUGUCAUGCCAAUGGCACUGCCCGGUAGCUAAAUGCGGAAGAGAUAAGUGCUGAAAGCAUCUAAGCACGAAACUUGCCCCGAGAUGAGUUCUCCCUGACCCUUUAAGGGUCCUGAAGGAACGUUGAAGACGACGACGUUGAUAGGCCGGGUGUGUAAGCGCAGCGAUGCGUUGAGCUAACCGGUACUAAUGAACCGUGAGGCUUAACCUU
rnacentral:rRNA from 1 species